AGUCCGGGCAAGGCCGGGGGCGGGGACGGGCCCGCAGGGACGGAGCCCGGGAGCGCGGCCCAGCGUGUCCUGGGCCAGCGCAGCCCUUUGCCUGGAGAGGCAGCUGGCAAUACAUGUCACAGAAUCCCAGGUUAAAAGGGACUACAGUGCGUCACUCGGUGGAACUGCGCUGCUCAAGCAGGGCCAUCCCAGAGCGCAUUGCACGGGACUGUAUCCAGAGGGAUCUUGAAUGUUUCCAGUCACGGGGACUCCACAGCCUCUCUGGACUAUCUGUGAUAGUGCUCAGUCACCUACACAGCAAUGAAGCUUUUCUUCAUGUUCAGGUGGAACUUCUGUGCAUCAAUUUUUGCCCCUUAUCCCCCGUCCUAUUGGUUGGCACCAGUGAGCACAGCCUGGCUCCAUCCUCCUGGCACCCUCACUUUAGAUACUUACGCCCAAAAUAUUAAAUAGUUUGGUUUAGAAAGGAAGGGAUGUGAUAAUUCAGUCAAAAGACAUUCCCAAAAAUGACAUUACAUUUGUGAGCCGUCAUCUGGGUGUUUUUCUGGAUCUCACCGUGAUCUGCAUGCAAAGAAAUGUGACUGGGCCAGUAGCUGCACCUAUGCUCUGAUGGGAUUUCUCACUGAGAAUGCACCCCAUGCACCAGAUACUUCUUGUCAAAACCAUGAGUCAGAUAAAAAUGACAAUAGAAAAAGCAAGACCCUUGCAGAAUUAAAUAAGAGUAUUAAUCUGAAAUGUUGGCGUUCAAAGCCCGUGAAAUAAGUGCUUUAUGGAUCUGCAUAAUGUUCAUUCAUUUACGAGAUUACACUCAUGAUGCAGGCUAAAUGUGCUAAACUGCAGAUCGACUUUGUCUGGUUUUCCUCAUCACGCCUAUAGAGGGAGGUAGGGCUUGUGUUUUGGAAAGGAGUGUUGAUUCGUGCUGUCAAAGAACACUGAGACGUUGACCUUACAGUUCUGCCAAGCAGCUGUGCUAAAACUACUCCGUUUUGUUCUCAGUAACUAUUAUUUCAGCCUGCAAUUAUUUUCAUCCAAGUUGCAACAAGAUAAUAAGGAAUGGCAAUAUGCAUAUCUAAAACACUGCUAUUAGGAAGAACCAAGGUUUUCUCACUUAUAUGGCCAGUAACACAAAAACAACCUUGCAAAAUUUUGCAAAACACAUCUGAGGGAAUGCCAGUCGUCUGUCUCACUGACACACAAACAAAAUGAAAAUCACAGCCUUGAGGAGCCCAGCUACUCUAGGAAGAUCUGAAGUAUGUAUAUCUGAAGAAAGGGACUUCCAUCAGCUUGGCAUAAGCUGUACAGGAAAUAAGCCACACAAACUUGAAAACAGCUUUUAGUUGACAUUGCAUUUCAAAUUAUAUGAAAACAUAAUUGCAGUAAUUUUCUGUAUAGAUAAGCUUUCAAAUUCAGCAUUGAACAUUUUAAUGUAGUGUUGGAUAUUUGGACAUGCGUGUGAAAGGCCUGAAGAACUGAUUCUGGAUAUAUACAUCUACAAGUUAGUGGCAAAUCUACCUAGGAGGGCCAUUCAUCAGUCUUUGAGCAAUGGUGAUCAAUGGAAUGACCAACUUGGAUGUUUUUGGAGUCAUUAGUCAGAAUUUUCUCGAAAGCAUAAUGAUAGUAGGGCUAUAUAUCCUAGUAAGUGCUUAUUUAGCCCAAGAAUAUAUUUAGUUGAAUUUAAUCCCUGUUAUCAGCAUGGUAUUUUUAUAUGACCAAGUCAUACACAGACUUAAACAGGUCAGACUUCUCAGCAGCUGUUUGAAGUGCAUGACACAUUCUGGACGGAAGAAGCUGUCAGGCAGUGUAAUGAGGGCAGUUUUGAAGGAAAUAUCACUUAAUUGUGGCUGAUGCUGCUGAAUUAGUCAUACGUCCUUACUGCCAGGGGACACCGUCAUGGAGCUUUAGCUCUUCUAUCUCAGGACAGCAUGUUUUACAUGAAUCUAGAGAAACAGCUGCAGUAAUGAAAUCAUUCAAAUUCUGCUCCUUACUCAUAAAUGUGCAAUAGCCAUUCCAAACAACACUGCACAAAAUGGAUUUUUUUUUUCUGGGAGCAAAAUAUGGCUCAAAACACAAAAUAUUAAUUUUGGAUUGUACAAAAUCUGUGUCACUAACAGCAGAGUAGCUAUCAAUUAAUUAGUUGAAAGCUUGUAAGUACAGACAAAUCUUUUAUGAACACGUGUCUCUUGAAGAGAGUCUCUUACUUCCACUGUUGGUGUGCUAGUGAAAAAUUGAUUCUAGAAUGUUAAAUUAAAAAUCACUGCAGAAGCAUUUUAAGCACAAAUUCAUAAUUUUUGAGCGUUUUAAGCACAUAAUUCAUUCACAUAGAUUUUAUCCGUUGAUUUUUUUACUGGGAAAUUUACCAAGCCAUUCUACUUUAUUUGUAUCUUCUCUGCCCCAAACAUGUCAAUUUCCUUCAAAUGACAGAAGCAAGCUCAGGAUGUUCUGACCUGUUUGUUUAUUUGGGGUUGUAUCAAUAGGAUCAACCACAUCAGUGCUUAAAGACUUACAUUAUGAGUAAUCGACUGUUUCAUUUCGUAUAUCUUAAUUACUCCUAAUUUCCCUAGGGCUUCCUGUACUUGCUGCAUGUUGUGUUCUAUCUGCUGGGGACAGUCAGUGUGCCUGUUUUUAGCAGUGACAAGUUAAACAGCCUGCACAAGGAAAGAUGCAAUAGCUGUUAAACAAGGAUAUAAUGCGAGCAAACAUCUCCCUCUGACUUGUCCUUCCUGGAAAAGUUACUUGUUAUUUCCUUUUUCUCAGCAUUUACAGAAGAAAGGUAUAGCUUUGCUAAUUAAUGUCUUACAAAGCUCAGGUCAGAGUUUUCAAUCUGCAGCCUAACAGAUUGUGUUCAGUCUGACAAAACAAUUAAUUCAACAUGCUUCUCAGGAAGCCUCAGUUUCUUCCCAUCACAUUUGCACAUCCUAAACUAUACCACACAAUCUGUUUCUCAAGUUUUGUGCUGAUGUUUCCAUCAACAUUAUCAUUAGCCUGCAAGGCUGAGCUCUGAUUAUUAAAAUGUCCAGUGCUGAACAGGUUUACAGCCAGUACAGACACAUUCCAUCGUCACAACCACUUACCACAGCAUCUACUGGAUUAAUUACUGCAAGGUCACAAACCCUUCUUCUAGAUCAAAAGUGAACUGACUGUAGAGUUCAACUUAACUGACCUAAUUCCAAGUGGCAAAAUUUCUUGUUAACUGGACCAAGUUUGUUUCUGUAUCUAUUUGGGUUUGUUAUGAUUUAAAUAUAAGUAAGUAGGAAGAGCUUAGGCAAUUGCUAGCACAGUCAUAAUUUUCUUUCCCAGACAGAUGGCACAAGUGAUGAGGGCCACUAGAAAAGACUUGGCAUCUCUAAAGUUACAAUCAAUGUAUCAGCUAUGAUAUACUGGUGCUUUUAUAGGGAAUGCUAAACACCAUUUUUGGGCAGCUCCUCAAAAUAAUUGGAAGAGUGAAAGCAACACUUAAAAGUGUUCUACUAGACAGUUGAGUCACAUGUGGAUCAUGUUUCAGAGGUUCAUGUUUUAAAUCAGUCUUGAGGAAAAAUAAAGUUAUGCAAAGGAAAGGAAUACAAAUAGUACAGCAUUGGUUAGAAAUGGUAACAGAAAUGUAUGACAAGCCUUUAUGUACAAUUUAAAAUUUGAAAUUGAAGUGAAAGUUCAACGUUAUCCUACAAAAGCUAAAAUCUUGCAACAGUAGAAAUUACUGAGUGAAUAGCAUCAAUUAAUCAAAUAUAUAGACCUGCUUAAUUUUCACUUCCUGUGUAUUUAUUCAUACACAACAGUAAUUUUCAAUCUUUUCCAUGAAUACUAGAAUAAUUUUUAUAAUGGCAGGCAUUUCUAUCUCCAUUUCACAUUUGUGAUCAUUGUGAACAUUGCUUACACUUAGCCUUAAUGGUGUGUUUCUGUUGAGCACUAAAUCACAUUUCAAGUCCCCAGUUAUACAAUAUUCCUUCCACUUACAGACUCCUGCUGUUAGUCUCUGCAUUGGAUCAUUAAGUGCUGCUUUGCAACAGCAUCAAAAUAAAACAAAUUUCUUUUUCUCAGUUUGUGUUUGAAAUGUUAUCAGCACACAGUUAAAGAAAUUUAUUUAGGCAGUGGUGGUCUUACAUUUCAUGUAAAGAAUACUUCUGGUAUGUUGGAGGUGUAAGACAUCUUGCUGCAACAAGAGCAAGGUGUUUUGAUUCAAGGUGGGGUGGGGAACCAGGCCAAGAGACAGAGCAGUCUUAUAGACCAGCAAAUAAGACAGUUACCAUCUAAUGAGACUGGAAAAGAUGGAAUUGCUUCUGUUGAUGCAAGGUUACCAUUCACUGACAGUUAACAAUGACUGUCUCUGAAACAGAUGUAAGCAGAAAGGAAGCUUCAAAUCUUCACAACCUGCACCAGAACACCAGCAAGGCUCUGAGGCAGACUGCAAAUUAAGCCUCAGCCUUUCCAGGAGUUUCAUUGUACUAUUACAAAAGCUCAGCAGCUUCAAGAGGAAACUGCAGCCUAGCCAGCAGAGGGAACUGAGGCUGCUCAAAGUCACUUUGUCAUCUGCAGCCAGAACUGCAGGAGGAAGACAGAGAUGAAUGCUUAUCACAUCUACACCUCACACUAAUCUUAAUACAUACAAUUCUGUUUUCAUUGUUUGGGGCACUACUGUUAUCCACAGCCUGGAAAUAGCUCAGCCUUCAUCAAAAUGGCAUUUUAUAAACUAGUGCUUUGCUAAAGAAGUGUAUUUUUUGCCACAGCUCUUUCCAGAGGGUACAAUAUACAACACAGAAACAGUACAACCUCUCAGCAUUGUUGAACAACAGAACAGUUACGUGGUCAGACAGAAAGAGAAAUGAGGAACGGGUUGCCAUAUGGAGUACUAUGGCUAAAAACAGAAUUUUAAUAGCAUAUGGUUUUGAGUAAUUUUUUGGUACAUCUAUUACGCAUUAAAGAUAUUGGCAAAGGUUUCAAAUACGAUGAUUUUUUAAAAAUCAUUCAUACAGCACUGAAUAUUCUGAUGACUUUCAGACCUAAAAUAA